rnacentral:misc_RNA from 1 species
AAUAAAGACAUUAAAUCCAUCAUUAGCAUUAAUAAAUUUAAAACUAAAAUAACUGUGUAGAUAGUAAAGAAUUAACCUUAUUACCACCAAGAUAUGAAUGUGUAGAACUAGAAAGACAGUUGCUUUUUAGCUCACUAGUUGAUUACCUUAACUCCAGAGACAAGAAGUAAAAGAUUUGUUUUCUUUCUUUUUCUUUGCCUUUAAAUAAUGAGUAUUAUGGUCACAGGAGACUAAAAAAACCUGUAAAUAACAGUCAUUAUUUAAAACCAUAGUUCCGGUUCAAGGUUCAUGGGUUCCAGUAUCGGACCACAGGGAUCCCCUCGAUUCCGGUUCUAAUUUUGGUUUGAUUUUGGUUUUGGUUUUGGUUUUGACAUGUCUUGUCUGUAGAAUCUAAAUUUGAUUUCCUUUUGAGGAAAUUAGAAUUUGUUUUUUUAAUU